rnacentral:rRNA from 1 species
ACGGAGGGUGCAAGCGUUGCUCGGAAUUAUUGGGCGUAAAGGUGCGCAGGCGGCCGUGUGUGUGAGGCGUGAAAGCCCGGGGCUUAACCCCGGAAUUGCACCUCAAACUACACGGCUAGAGCAUUGGAGAGGGUAGCGGAAUUCACGGUGUAGCAGUGAAAUGCGUAGAUAUCGUGAGGAACACCAGAGGCGAAGGCGGCUACCUGGACAAUUGCUGACGCUCAGGCACGAAAGCGUGGGGAGCAAAAGGGA